rnacentral:rRNA from 1 species
GACAGAGGGUGCAAACGUUGUUCGGAAUUACUGGGCGUAAAGCGCGUGUAGGCGGCUAAGUAAGUCGGGCGUGAAAUCCCACGGCUCAACCGUGGAAGUGCACUUGAAACUGCAUAGCUAGAGUCCUGGAGAGGAAGGUGGAAUUGCUGGUGUAGCGGUGAAAUGCGUAGAGAUCAGCAGGAACACCCGUGGCGAAGGCGGCCCCCUGGGCCGAUAAAAAGUCCUGUCAAGGGAAACCUUGGCUGGUACCUGACGCUGAGGCGCGAAGGCUAGGGGAGCGAACGGG